rnacentral:rRNA from 1 species
UACGGAGGGGGCGAGCGUUAUUCGGAAUUACUGGGCGUAAAGCGCGUGUAGGCGGCAGGGCAAGUCUGGUGUGAAAGCCCGGGGCUCAACCCCGGAAGUGCAUUGGAAACUGCUCUGCUUGAGUACCGGAGAGGAAGGGGGAAUUCCCGGUGUAGCGGUGAAAUGCGUAGAUAUCGGGAGGAAUACCAGUAGCGAAGGCGGCCAUCUGGCUGGUAACUGACGCUGAGGUGCGAGAGCGUGGGGAGCAAACAGG